AAAUGAAUGCUAAUACCUGAUAUUAUGAUUUUAAGGCAUCUUAGAAUUAUGAAAGCUAUAAGCACUGUGAGAGAGCUUUGCGUCCCAUUAGCUAGUUGGAGAGGUAACAGCUCACCAAGGCGAUGAUGGGUAGCCGGCCUGAGAGGGUGAACGGCCACAAGGGGACUGAGACACGGCCCUUACUCCUACGGGAGGCAGCAGUGGGGAAUAUUGGACAAUGGACCGAGAGUCUGAUCCAGCAAUUCUGUGUGCACGAUGAAGUUUUUCGGAAUGUAAAGUGCUUUCAGUUGGGAAGAAAAAAUGACGGUACCAACAGAAGAAGUGACGGCUAAAUACGUGCCAGCAGCCGCGGUAAUACGUAUGUCACGAGCGUUAUCCGGAUUUAUUGGGCGUAAAGCGCGUCUAGGUGGUUAUGUAAGUCUGAUGUGAAAAUGCAGGGCUCAACUCUGUAUUGCGUUGGAAACUGUAUAACUAGAGUACUGGAGAGGUAAGCGGAACUAC
rnacentral:rRNA from 1 species